AAAAUCGAAAAAAUAAGGCCAUUGGAAAACUAAUCCGGUAUUACCGUUGCGAUAAUAAUACGCAUUUCGUUUAUUAAUGUCCGGAAAAGGUUUCGGGGUCAGGUAAAUAGCAAACCGAAAUUUCGGAUUAAUUUAAAACCAAAAAGGAAAUUAAGGUUUAAAUGGUUAAGGGUAAAAAUACGCAAAAUAACCCUUUUAAAAAACCUAUUGCUAUAUUUAGCAAACCUAAUACCCCAAUUUUACCCCAACGUCCCAUAUUUCAAACCCCGGCUCGUUUAUUAGGUUUAUCUGGAAUUAUUACCCAGGUGGCCAUAAAUACGGGUGCAAAAAUUAAUUUAAUUAAUAAAAUUUUUGCGUUAUAAUAUUAAUUACCUUUGCAAAUAUGCAAAACACCAGUUAUUAUUGGUAUGGGACAGGACGAAAUUAUUACCAAAGGAAUUUAUUUUGUACGAUUAUGGGUUAUUAAUUUUCGAAACACUUUUAAAAAAAUGGAACGUUUAUAUAUUGCGAUAUAAAAAACAGAAAAAAACCCUCCUAUUAUUUGGGAAAGGCCGGUUUUGGCAAACGAAAAUAUUAUUAUAAAUAAUUCCACGCACCAAUAAUGGUUUAAAAUAAUAAAAAAGGAUUUUUAAAUAUGUAAUAACGCCAAAAAAUUUUUAUAUUCGGUUAGGGGGUAUGCACGGAUUUAUACCGUUAUUUUAACGAAUUAUUUAUUUCCCGCCUUACCCGACGAAAAUAAGGAAAAGGACCCUCCUCCCAAACGAAAAAUUACCUUAUCGCAAAAAUAUAAGGAUUACCAAAAUGUUUUUUCAAAAUAGGCAAUUAAAGGUAUAUUUAUUAAUAUUAAUGCAAUUUAUCCCAUUAAUUUAAUCGAGGGGAAAAUACCUCCGCAUUUGCCCAUUUAUUUUUUAUUACCAAAAAAAGUUGGCCGAAUUACAAAAAUAUAUUAAAAAAAACCUGAAAUUUAAACGUAUCCGCAAAUCCAAUAAUUUUGCAAGGGUACCCAUCCUUUUUAUUCCCAAAAAAAAUGGUAUAUUGCGUUUUUGCGUGGAUUAUCGAAGUUUAAAUUCGGUUAUUAAAAAAAACAGGUACCUUUUACCCCUAAUUGCAGAAAUUAUGGACCGCGUGCAAGGCUCGCAAUGGUUUACCAAAUUGGAUUUUAAAAAUAUAUAUUACAAAAUCCGUAUUAGGGAAAGGGAUAAAUGGAAAACUGUUUUUCGCAUUUGUUAUGGUUAUUUUAAAUAUAUUAUUAUGUUUUUUGGUUUUUGCAAUACCCCUGCGAUUUUCCAAAAUUAUAUAUAAAAAAUUUUAGGAAAUUUCGUGGAUCGCUAUUACGUUAUAUAUUUGGAUAACAUUUUAAUUUAUUCCUUUAAUAAGGAAAUUUAUAAAAAAUAUAUACGGAAAGUCUUGGAAAGAUUUAGGGAGGCGAAUUUUUACGUUAAAUUAUUUAAAUGCGAAUUUUAUAUGCAAAAAACUGAAUUUUUGGAUUAUAUAAUCGAUACGCAGGAAAUAUUUAUGGAUCCACGCAGGGUAACCGCUAUUCAAAAAUGGCCUGCACCCAAAUUAUACCAUAAUAUUUAGGUUUUUUUGGGGUUUUGCAAUUUUUAUCGCCGUUUUAUUCGUCGUUAUUUAUCCAUUGCACGCCUUUUAUUAAAUUUGUUUAAAAAUAUAAAAAAGGGGAAAAAACCCGGGGAUAUUACGCCCUCAAAACGUAAUAUUGUUUUGGCAAUUUUUAAAAAAUUAAAAACUACGUUCCUUUAAACGCCUUUAUUGCGUUAUUACGAUUUUUUAUUUCCUAUACGUUUGGAAACCGAUAUUUCGAUAUACGCGUGGGGGGCGAUUUUGUUACAAUUUUUAAAAACGGUUGGCACCCUAUUGUUUUUUAAUCCAAAAAGUGGUUUGGAACCCAAUUAAAUUAGGGUACCCCGGACCAAAAAAUGGGUGCUAUAAUCGAAAUUUUUAAAUGUUGGAAAUAUUAUUUAAAAAAUAGCGUAUCGCCAAUAAUUGUGGUUACAAAUUAUUAAAAUUUGCAAAAUUUUAUAAAAACACCCAAAUUUAAUAGAAAAUAGGCGCGUUGGAUAAUAUAUCUGUCCUUUUUUAAUUUCGAAAUUGUUUACCGUGCAGGGAAACAAAACCCUGUUAACGGACCGUCGAAACGGCCUAAUUAUAAAAUAUUUAUUGCUAUGGACGGCCUUUUACCCCUAUUGCAAAAAAAGCUGUUAACAAAGGGUUAAAAUAAGGAAAAAUCUGGUAAUUUUUACCUAUCCGCAGGGGUUUCGCAAUUUAAAUAGGUUAUUUUACCUUUUUUGGGACAAUUAUAUGCGAAAAUGUAUAUAAUAACCCGUGGGAAAACGAGGAAUAUAAUAAAAGCAAAAACCCUUUAUUAUGCAUUUUCAAAACCCAUUAAAGAUUUAAUUAGAAAUUUGCAACAAAAUGACGAAGAAUUACAGCAAUUUCGCAAAAAAAUGAAAAAUAAUUGGAUUGUAACGCCAAAUAAUAUUUUUUAUUACAAAUCGAAAUUUUACGUACCCAUAAACGGUAAUGUAAAAAAGGAGUUUUUGGAAUUUUAUUAUAACGAUUUAUAUGCGGGAUAUUGGGGAAUCGCCAAAAUUUUGAAACUAAUUUAAAGGAAAUAUUAUUGGAAACAAAUAAGGGAUAAUGUUAAUUGGUAUUUGAAAUUAUAUAAUAUUUAUAUAAUAAUAAAACCAACCAAAUAUCGCCAAUACGGUAUAUUGCAAUUAUUACCCCUACCCAGCAAAAUUUGGGAUAAAAUAUUUUUGGAUUUUAUUAUCGGAUUGCCCGAUAUGGAGCACAAUUUUACCACGAUGGACGCCAUUUUAAUUAUAAUAAAUAAAUUAACCAAAAUAACGCGGUUUUUACCCAUUAAAAACGAUAUGGAUAUUUCCGAAUUUGUUUAGUUUUUUACCAAAGAAAUUAAAUAUCGUUAUGGAUUUCCAUUGGGCAUUAUUACCGACAAAAAUAAAUUAUUUA
rnacentral:sRNA from 1 species